rnacentral:rRNA from 1 species
AUUUGGACAAUGGGCGCAAGCCUGAUCCAGCCAUGCCGCGUGCAGGAUGACGGUCCUAUGGAUUGUAAACUGCUUUUGUACAGGAAGAAACCCUUUCACGUGUGAAAGAUUGACGGUACUGUAAGAAUAAGGUUCGGCUAACUCCGUGCCAGCAGCCGCGGUAAUACGGA